UACAUGGGGUGCAAACGUUUGCUCGGAAUUAUUGGGCGUAAAGCGCACGUAGGUGGUCUGUUAUGUCAGAUGUGAAAGCCCUCGGCUUAACUGAGGAAGUGCACCUGAAACUGGCAGGCUUGAGUACGAAAGAGGGUCGCGGAAUUCCCGGUGUAGAGGCUGAAAUUCGUAGAUAUCGGGAGGAACACCGGUGGCGAAGGCGGCGACCUGGUUCGAUACUGACACUGAGGUGC
rnacentral:rRNA from 1 species